GUUUAUACAAUAAAAAAAUGGCUAACUUGAGGGUGGCAUAGCCCUGGGUCGAACCGAAGAGCGGUCCCUGGGAUCUUGGGCUGGAUGGGGCGCGCUCCUAGGGGAUCCUUGGGCCAUAAUACAUCCCCGGAUUGGGAAAGAAUGUAGAUGGAUGCACAUCCUUCUGAACAAUCUGUAUAGGUAAGUAUACAACUUUGUUACUUGGUACUCAAUAAUUGAAAAGGUGACCCGGGGUGUGCUGUACUGGGGCCUUGUAUUCCUCCUGAACACCCCUGCCCCUUUACCUUCUUGAGUUCCACCAGAUGGUACCAUUCUUAACGGAGAGGUUUCUCCCUGUUUCCCGUUCUUUUUUGGUACACCAAAAGCAGUGUCCUUACUAACUACAUUUAAAUGUAACUUGUUUGCAAUCGAGCAGAAUGAGGCAUGUUAAUGUAGAAAUUAAAAUCUGCCAACUAGACCUUGGUGGUUGUUAUAGCCUUUCAAAAUUUAAAAACCCUGAAUAAUACAUGUUUUUGAACCAUGGUGUACAAAAGCAAUAUCCGUACUAACUGUACGUAAAUAUUGUUUGGACCCAGCAUAUUGUUGAUCUACUAUGGAAUGUACUAGCAGAAUUAAUGAUUGUGUAUGAAUAUAAAUGAUUGUAUAUUUCUUAAAAGCAGAUUCCACAAUUUCAUAGAUUCUAACUGGAAUAUAUUUUGGAAAACUAAUAUAUCUUGCUUUUAGCUAUGGUAAUUUUCAUUAAUUUAUCAAUGAAUAAAUGAGUGGUAAAACCUUCUGGUGGUAUGAUUUAAUAAAAUGAAACCUUCAAACUGAGUGAUGAAAAAUGAUGCAGUAGUGGUUGGCCACUGUCAGUUGGAGGGAGGAAUAAAAGAAGCCCAUUGGUUUAUUGGCCUAAGACCUUAGAGCUACAUUCUAAGGGGCGUAAGCAGCAUUGACUCUGAACAGUAAGUACACAGGACAACUUGGUAAUUAAGCUUUUAACUUUAUUUAUCCUUAAUUUCAUAUUUUGUUUAAAUAAAUGAACGGAACCUGCAAAAACUUUAUACAAAAUACCUUUUGUAAUUUUUUUUUUGUCUUCAUGAAUCCCAAGAAAAUGAGUCACUUUUGAAUAAUUAAAAUUUCAGCAUUUCCAAAAUGAUUCAUUCAUUAUGCCCGUGUGGUUUGUAAAUUGUACUAAUAGGGAUUUUUUUUCUUUCACUCAUUCCAGAGCCAAAAUUCUGCCAUCCACAACAAACAGAAGCUAACCUUGGUAUAAUCAAUUUACAAUUGUAAACCGUUAAGACAAGAGAAUGAAUAACAACAGGAGAAACUUAAGAAAGAAAAGGCAUAUGGGUAAGACACCGAGAAGGAUUUUCAGGCAAAACUCAUCAGGUCAACAGGCUUUGGCUAAUUCAGGAUCAAUAAAUCGAAGAGCACCAUCAAACCUUGCUCCUGGACAACAAAGGUUUGGAAGAGGUGUACCAAACCAGAACAUUGUUCAUUUAAGGAAUGAAAUUUCAGUGCCUCCUAACAGGUCAUUGAAUUCUACAAGAUCUGUAGGCCAAGUAUUUUUGAGGGACUUAACUUUCCUGCCUGAACGCAUGCCACAAUUUCUUCUACAGCAAGGAUAUUUGACAAAUGUGCAAAUCCCAUUUCCAAUGCAAUGGGGGUUUCUUGCACUGCCUCAAGCGAUUCAGUCAAACAUUCUCCAUACUAUCCCUAUUCCACUGCAAGGUUUAAUUUUGGCUGAUAUGAUGAUAGGUAGCCCUUGGCAGUUAAUUUCUCCAGGACAAAUUGAUUAUAUCAGCCUUUUCACACUGCUUGGCGCAGAAUUUGAAUAUCAGAGAUGUCUAUUUGAAAGAAUGGCAAAUGUGGUUGUUUCUAUAGAUGAAAUUAAUUAAUGGAUGACUGCUUAAAAAAUCAUUAAUUAUUUUUUUUAAAAAUUUCUUA
rnacentral:misc_RNA from 1 species